rnacentral:rRNA from 1 species
ACAAGCGGAGGAGCAUGUGGUUUAAUUCGAUGAUACGCGAGGAACCUACCUGGGCUCGAACGUAAGAUGACUGUAGGUGAAAGCUUACAUCUCUUCGGAGCAUUUUACGAGGUGCUGCAUGGUUGUCGUCAGCUCGUGCCGUGAGGUGUCGGGUUAAGUCCCAUAACGAGCGCAACCCCUACCUUUAGUUGCCAUCAGGUUAAGCUGGGGACUCUAAAGGAACUGCCUACGCAAGUAGUGAGGAAGGCGGGGAUGACGUCAAAUCAGCACGGCCCUUACGUCCAGGGCUACACACGUGCUACAAUGGCCGAUACAGAGGGCAGCUACCUGGUGACAGGAUGCAAAUCUCCAAAGUCGGUCUCAGUUCGGAUCGGAGUCUGCAACCCGACUCCGUGAAGUUGGAUUCGCUAGUAAUCGCGCAUCAGCCAUGGCGCGGUGAAUACGUUCCCGGGCCUU